GUGAAUCAUCGAAUCUUUGAACGCAAAUUGCACUCUCUGGCAUUCCGGAGAGUAUGCCUGUUUGAGGGUCAGUUUAAAUAAAAAUCGGGGUGUUUCUUUUUUGUGACCCAUAGGCAUUGGGUUUUCUUUGUUCUUUUAUAGGUUUAAGUACCCUAAAAUUGAUAUGUUUUGCAUCUCACGCGUACAUAAGAAUAUUCUUUUAUCCGUCCGAUCUUGCG
rnacentral:misc_RNA from 1 species